CACGGGGGGAGCAAGCGUUGUUCGGAAUUACUGGGCGUAAAGGGCGUGUAGGCGGUCAAGUAAGUGGAAUGUGAAACGCCUCGGCUUACCCGAGGACCUGCAUCCCAAACUGCUUGGCUUGAGUAUGGGAGAGGAUGAGGGAAUUCCUGGUGUAGCGGUGAAAUGCGUAGAUAUCCGGAGAAACACCGGUGGCGAAGGCGGGUCUCUGGGCCGAUACUGACGCUGAGGAGCGAAAGCGUGGGGAGCGAACAGG
rnacentral:rRNA from 1 species